CGACCGAUCUGUCCUCGAGAUAGGACCCGA
rnacentral:sRNA from 1 species